GCAAACUUGGUCAUUUAGAGGAAGUAAAAGUCGUAACAAGGUUUCCGUAGGUGAACCUGCGGAAGGAUCAUUACAGAGUUCAUGCCCUCACGGGUAGAUCUCCCACCCUUGAAUACUAUACCUUUGUUGCUUUGGCGGGCCGCUUUGGCUACUGGCUCUGGCUAGUAAGUGCCCGCCAAAGAACCCCAAAACUCUUAAUAUUAGUGUCGUCUGAGUACUAUAUAAUAGUUAAAACUUUCAACAACGGAUCUCUUGGUUCUGGCAUCGAUGAAGAACGCAGC
rnacentral:misc_RNA from 1 species